UGUGAACUCGAAGAGUAGGGCGGGACACGUGGUAUCCUGUCUGAAUAUGGGGGGACCAUCCUCCAAGGCUAAAUACUCCUGACUGACCGAUAGUGAACCAGUACCGUGAGGGAAAGGCGAAAAGAACCCCGGCGAGGGGAGUGAAAAAGAACCUGAAACCGUGUACGUACAAGCAGUGGGAGCACCUUCGGGUGUGACUGCGUACCUUUUGUAUAAUGGGUCAGCGACUUAUAUUCUGUAGCAAGGUUAACCGUAUAGGGGAGCCGCAGGGAAACCGAGUCUUAACUGGGCGUUAAGUUGCAGGGUAUAGACCCGAAACCCGGUGAUCUAGCCAUGGGCAGGUUGAAGGUUGGGUAACACUAACUGGAGGACCGAACCGACUAAUGUUGAAAAAUUAGCGGAUGACUUGUGGCUGGGGGUGAAAGGCCAAUCAAACCGGGAGAUAGCUGGUUCUCCCCGAAAGCUAUUUAGGUAGCGCCUCGUGAACUCAUCUUCGGGGGUAGAGCACUGUUUCGGCUAGGGGGUCAUCCCGACUUACCAACCCGAUGCAAACUACGAAUACCGAAGAAUGUUAUCACGGGAGACACACGGCGGGUGCUAACGUCCGUCGUGAAGAGGGAAACAACCCAGACCGCCAGCUAAGGUCCCAAAGUCAUGGUUAAGUGGGAAACGAUGUGGGAAGGCACAGACAGCCAGGAUGUUGGCUUAGAAGCAGCCAUCAUUUAAAGAAAGCGUAAUAGCUCACUGGUCGAGUCGGCCUGCGCGGAAGAUGUAACGGGGCUAAACCAUGCACCGAAGCUGCGGCAGCGACACUAUGUGUUGUUGGGUAGGGGAGCGUUCUGUAAGCCUGCGAAGGUGACCUGUGAGGGUUGCUGGAGGUAUCAGAAGUGCGAAUGCUGACAUAAGUAACGAUAAAGCGGGUGAAAAGCCCGCUCGCCGGAAGACCAAGGGUUCCUGUCCAACGUUAAUCGGGGCAGGGUGAGUCGACCCCUAAGGC
rnacentral:rRNA from 1 species